AGUAAAAAUUUUUAAAAUGUCUGUAAUAACUGUAGAUAGAAAUUAGUAUCUGAUAAUAUUUCGUGAAUGUUAUAAAAGAAUAAACUCUUUUACAAUUAUAUUUUCAAAGUGGCAUUCGUAUAAUACAAAUGAUUUUUAAAUAUUAAUAAGAUUUUAUAAAUCUUAAAAAUAAUAAUAAAUCUUAAAUCUUAAAGAUUAUGUAUCUAUUAAGAAACAAAUUAUACAUUGACAAGUUAUGAUAACGGUGUUUAUAAAUGAUAAAAAUAAUAUGAAGUAUUGCUAUGUUUUUAAUAAUAUUUAAUUACCGUAAAGAUAACAUUAUUAAAAACGAAAAUCCUAAAUAUUAUAAAUAAAAAUACAUGAAAAUGUGUGAUCUUAUAGAUUUAAAUAGCCCUGACAUAAAGGGUUCAUUAAGUUCAAGACUUGCAUCACCUCUAAUACCAGUUCCUACAGAUAUAUGCAAGAAUUUUAAUACUCGAAAAAAUGAACCAAAUUCUCCAAUAAUAGGAAAACGUGAUAGUUUAGAAAAUAAUCCUUUUGAUAUGGUAUUACAUAAAACUACAGAAUAUAUUCAAAAAAAAGAUGACCCUUUUGAAAUGACUUUAGAGAAAGCAAUGAAAUUAAAAUGCAAACAGAAGACUUCAUUAAGAUCAUUUUCUUUAGAUUUACCAGAUAAUUCAACUGUUAAACAAAAAGUACAUACACAAAAAUUAAAAAUGAAUCAAACAGCAGAUGAACUAUCAAUCAAAUCAAAUACAAACAAUGUAAUUACUAAUAAAGUAUCUAAUGAAAAUAUAAUUGUUAAUGUAAGUAAUGCUAAUAUUAGUAAUAAUUCAAAAUCAGAUGUACCUAUUAUUGAAAUUCAAGAUAAUGAUUUAUCCAUUUUAAAUCAAUCUGAAAUGAAUGAUAUAUUAUUUGAAACAGAUAAUAACUCAAAUAAAAAUCAAAUAAAAUCUAUUUUACAAAAUAAAAUGUCAUUACAUAUGCAGAAAGAUAAAAUAAAUAUUGAACAAAUUCCAUUUUCUAAUUUAACUUUAAAAGUUCCAAAAUUUAGGCGUUCUUAUUCACAAGGAGAAGCAAUAUCUCCAAAAGAAUCACAAUAUUUACAUCAAGUAUCAUUAUUUGAAUCUUUAGGAAUUGAUUCAGAUAAUAAUAUUAAUAUAUAUUCUUCAAAUUCACUUGAUUUAUUGAAUGAAGGAUUUUUGAAAAGUUAUUCUAAUGAAAGUUCUAUUUCAAAUUUAUCAAAUAUUUCUUCUAUUCCUAAAUUAAAUUCUGUUUCUUCAACAAUCAAUUCAUCAAUAAUGUUAUCAAAUGGAACUAUGAAUCGUACAUUUUUAGAAAGCUGUUCAUCAGAAAAAUCACAAAAUACAAAAUUAAAUGAAAACAUGGAUUUGAAUAAAGAAGUAAAAUCUAUGUUUCCAACAGAAAAGGAUUUAAUGACAUCAGUAGCAAAUAUAUCAAUAAAAACUUCAAUAUCUGAUUUAACAGAUCGAUUUAAUAAAUUGAAAGCAAAAGUAUCAGAAACUCAUAUUGAAAGUUGUAUGAAUAAUAAAGAUGAAUUUACACAUAAUUCUUCCAAUGUAAUGAAAGAAUGUGUCAUAGAAAAAAAUGAAAAAUAUGAUAUAAAUAAUAAAUUAAUAGAUAUUGAUGUAUUUACACCAGACAAUAAUAAAGAAUAUUGUAAAAAUUCCAUUUCAGAUACAUCUUCAGAUUCUGUUUUUCUUGAAGAAAAUAAAAUUAACAAAUCAAUACGUCAAGAAGCAAAACUUCUUGCAAGAACUUUUGAAGAAUUAGCUUUAAAAACCAGUUCAGGCUCAAGUAUGGAUGAUUUCAUUACAAACAAUUCUUUAUGGACAUUAGAGUUAUUACCAGCCUUUGAUGAUGAAACUUCAGUUGAAAAUUUGAUUGAUUUGCCGACGUCUCCUGAGGGAACAGAUACAAAAUCAAAAAAUGUAGAAAUCGCAGAGAAUAAAUGUAAUGAUUCAAAUAAAAGUAAAAAAAAUGAAUUUAUUGAUAAUGUGAAAAUAAAAGAUUUAGAAAUGGAACUUGUUGAACCAAUAUUAGUAGAAAAACGUUUUACUGCAGUAACGCUUUUAUUAGAACUUAAAAAAUUAAUCGAAACAGAAAAUAAUGUAGAAGCAAGUAAAUUAGUAAAAAAUUUGGAGAAAGCUUUAGGUAUUAAUUGUGAGAACAAUACUGAAUUAUUGACUACUUAUCUUAAUGCAACUAAUAAUUUAGCAAAAAGUCCAGAAAAAUCAAGUAACAAUUUGGAUAUGAUAAAAAAUGUAGCAGAACAUAGUAUAGAACACAGUCAAGAAAAUAAUUUGACUGGUAAUUCGAUGGAAAAUAUUAAAGAAUCAGAGUUUUUUGAAAAAAGCUUUAAUGCAAAUAAAUGUAUUGAUAAUCAAAAAUACUUAAAUAAUGUAAAUUGUAAAUCAAAAUGUGAAACUCCAGAAACAGAAAUAUAUAUUGAAAAAAUAAAGAAAGAAAAAGAUGAAAAUGAAAUUAUUUCUCAUAAUAAUGAUUGUUACAAACAAAAAAAUAAUUUAAUAAAUGAAAAGAUGGUAAUUGAACUUCUUGCAAAUAUAGGAAAAUUAUUAUGUGAACAGACUGAUGAACAUCCAACUUUGAAUGUACUUAAAAAUUUAGGAAAAGUAUUAAAUUUUACUUCUAAUAAUUGUAAUAUUGAUAAGAAUACAAAAAGUGACAAUGCUUAUAUAGAAAUUCAACAAACUCCAAAGAAAUCAAAGUUAAAAUUUGAAAAUGAAUCUCGAUCGUUAUAUUUAUCAAAUUCUACUAACAGAUUAAGUUUAAGUUUAGAAUCAAAGAAGAUAUCAAAUAAUAAAAAUUUUAUUAGGAGAAGUGUAUCUGUAUCUCAAACACCGCCAUUUAAAAAUGAAUCUAAUUUAUCAAUGUUUAAUAGCAAAAGUACAUCUCAAUUGAAAGAAAUAACAAAACGAUUUUCUAGUGAUCCUAGUUUUACUAAACCAGAAUCAAAUAAAGAGAUUAUUAUAAAUAAUGAUAAAAACAUACUACAAAAAGAUUUACAGAGAGAAAAAUCUUCUACAAUAAGUACAGUUAGAAAUAAAUUUAAGAAAAAAGUUAAUACUAAUAUCAUAAACAAAAAGGGUCCAAUGAAAGCUAUUCUUCCUAUAGGAAAUAUGCAAAAAAGAGGUAUAAACUAUUAAUAAAAAAUUAACUUCAUCUAUUGGAACUACAACACCACCUCAAUCUCAUAAAAUAAUUAGUAGUACUCCUAAUUCCACAAACAAUGAACUUUUAACCAAAAAAUCACGAUCUGCGAAACCAGUUGCUUCGUCAACUCCAGAUGCUCAAAAUUCUAAAAUACAAAAAACACAAUCACAAAUAAUUAACAGUCCUAAAAAACGUAAUUUUUCUUGUGAUAUUUCACCUGUAACUACACGCAUAAAUAUUAGUAAUUACAAUGGAAUGAGUAAUAAUUUACAAAGAAAUACUAAAUUACCAUCUCCAAAGAAAACAACACCUAAACGCCGAGCAACAGAAUCUGGUAUUCCAAAAAUACAGACUCCACCUAUAAACAAAAGUUUAAAUUCUUCGUUUGAAGUUAAUCAAUAUGAACGUUUAUAUGAAUCUCCGAAACGUUCAACAUAUAAACAAUCAAAUUCACAAAAAAAUUCGCCAAUUUCUUUUAAAAAUAACGGAAAUAAUAUACAACGAAGUCCAUUAAGAGAUAAUAAUAAAAUUGUUCAGAAAGUAAAACCGAUAAAUUUGAUUUCGAAACUUCGACGCUAUAGUAAUUCAAAUAUAAUGGACAAAGAAAACAGUUACGUUUAAUUUAUAAAAAGUUCUGUUAUAAUUAAUACUACUCGUGUUAUUAAACGUUCGUAACAUUGCAAUGUGUGAACUUUUUACAUUUAUGUUUUGCAAUAAAAUAUUUGGAAAAUAAA